rnacentral:rRNA from 1 species
CCAAUAGCGUAUAUUAAAGUUGUUGCAGUUAAAAAGCUCGUAGUUGAAUUUCGGGGUUCUAUCGUUGGUCGGGCUAUUGUCUGUACUGGCGUGUAGAAUUUCUACCUUCUGGGGAACUAUCAUGUUAUUUAUUUAGCGUGGUAGGAAACCAGGACCUUUACCUUGAAAAAAUUAGAGUGUUCAAAGCAGGCUUAUGUCUGAAUACAUUAGCAUGGAAUAAUAAAAUAGGACGGUGGUCCUGUUUUGUUGGUUUCUGAAUCACCGUAAUGAUUAAUAGGGAUAGUUGGGGGCAUUAGUAUUCAAUUGUCAGAGGUGAAAUUCUUGGAUUUAUUGAAGACUAACUACUGCGAAAGCAUUUGCCAAGGAUGUUUUCAUUAAUCAAGAACGAAAGUUAGGGGAUCGAAGACGAUCAGAUACCGUCGUAGUCUUAACCAUAAACUAUGCCGACUAGGGAGCGGACGAUGUUAACUUUUCUUGACUCGUUCGGCGCCUUACG